rnacentral:snRNA from 1 species
AUGCUUGCUUUGGCAACACAUAUACUGAAAUCGGACCAACACAAAGAAGAUUAUCAUGGCCCUUAAGCAAGGAUGACACGCAAAGUCAUAAAGUGUUCCUUAUAUUU